rnacentral:rRNA from 1 species
GAUGAACGCUGGCGGCGUGCCUAACACAUGCAAGUCGAGCGAACAGACGAGUUUCUUGCGCCUCUGACGUUAGCGACGCACGGGUAAGUAACACGUGGAUAACCUCCCUAUAUGACUAGGAUAACUACUAGAAACCGGAGCUAGUACCGGAUAAUAUAUUCAACCGCAUGGGUCACUAGUGACUGACGGUCUUGCUGGCACGUCUAGAUGUUUCCGCGCCGCAUUAGCUUGUUGGUAAGGUAACGACUUACCAACGCACGGGUGCGUAGCCGACCUGAGAGGGUGAUCGGCGACGCUGGAACUGAGACACGGUCCAGACUCCUACGGGAGGCAGCAGUAGGGAAUCUUCCGCAGUGGGCGAGAGCAUGAUGGCGCAACGCGGCGUGGGCGAUGGAGGUCUUGGGAUCGUGAAACUGUGUGAUUAGGGAAGAAGAAAUGUGUAAGCAACUAUGCAAGUCUUGACGGUACCUAAUGAGAAAGCAACGGCUAACUACGUG